UGGGGGAUAUUGCACAAUGGGCGAAAGCCUGAUGCAGCGACGCCGCGUGGGGGAUGAAGGCCUUCGGGUUGUAAACUUCUUUUGCUCUGAACAAGGCAUGCCUUUGGGGUGUGUUGAGUGUAGGGGUUGAUUAGCGCCGGCUAACUACGUGCCAGCAGCCGCGGUAAUACGUAGGGCGCGAGCGUUGUCCGGAAUUAUUGGGCGUAAAGGGCUUGUAGGUGGCUGGUUGCGUCUGUCGUGAAAGCUCAUGGCUUAACUGUGGGUUUGCGGUGGGUACGGGCUGGCUUGAGUGCAGUAGGGGAGGCUGGAAUUCCUGGUGUAGCGGUGGAAUGCGCAGAUAUCAGGAGGAAUACCGGUGGCGAAGGCGGGUCUCUGGGCUGUUACUGACGCUGAGGAGCGAAAGCGUGGGAAGCGAACAGG
rnacentral:rRNA from 1 species